AUUGAACGCUGGCGGCAGGCUAAACACAUGCAAGUCGAACGAGUGGCGGACGGGUGAGUAAUGUCUGGGAAACUUCCUGAUGGAGGGGGAUAACUACUGGAAAAGGUAGCUAAUUCCGCAUACCAUCAGAUGUGCCCAGAUGGGAUUAGUUUGUGGGUGGGGUAACGGCUGACCAGGGCGAGGAUCCCUAGCUGGUCUGAGAGGAUGACCAGCCACACUGGAACUGAGACACGGUCCAGACUCCUACGGGAGGCAGCAGUGGCGAAUAUUGCACAAUGGGCGCAAGCCUGAUGCAGCCAUGCCGCGUGUAUGAAGAAGGCCUUCGGGUUGUAAAGUACUUUCAGCGGGGAGGCGUUACCCGCAGAAGAAGCACCGGCUAACUCCGUGCCAGCCGCCGCGGUAAUUC
rnacentral:rRNA from 1 species